rnacentral:rRNA from 1 species
UACAGAGGCCCCAAGCGUUACUGAGAAUCACUGGGUUUAAAGGGUGCGUAGGUGGUCCGUUAAGUUCGUUGUGAAAUCCCUGGGCUCAACCCAGGAAAUGCUUCGAAUACUGGCGGACUUGAGGCUAGUAGAGGUCACUGGAACUGACGGUGGAGCGGUGAAAUGCGUAGAUAUCGUCAGGAACGCCGAUGGUGAAGACAGGUGACUGGGCCACUACUGACGCUGAGAAGCGAAAGCAUGGGGAGCGAACAGG